GACGAACGCUGGCGGCGUGCUUAACACAUGCAAGUCGAACGGAAAGGCCCUGCUUUUGUGGGGUGCUCGAGUGGCGAACGGGUGAGUAACACGUGAGUAACCUGCCCUUGACUUUGGGAUAACUUCAGGAAACUGGGGCUAAUACCGGAUAGGAGCUCCUGCUGCAUGGUGGGGGUUGGAAAGUUUCGGCGGUUGGGGAUGGACUCGCGGCUUAUCAGCUUGUUGGUGGGGUAGUGGCUUACCAAGGCUUUGACGGGUAGCCGGCCUGAGAGGGUGACCGGCCACAUUGGGCCUGAGAUACGGCCCAGACUCCUACGGGAGGCAGCGGGGGGGAAUAUUGCACAAUGGGCGGAAGCCUGAUGCAGCAACGCCGCGUGCGGGAUGACGGCCUUCGGGUUGUAAACCGCUUUCGCCUGUGACGAAGCGUGAGUGACGGUAAUGGGUAAAGAAGCACCGGCUAACUACGUG
rnacentral:rRNA from 1 species